rnacentral:rRNA from 1 species
GACGAACGCGGCGGCGUGCCUAAUACAUGCAAGUCGAGCGAAGUUUUUCUGGUGCUUGCACCGGAAAAACUUAGCGGCGAACGGGUGAGUAACACGUAAAGAACCUGCCUCAUAGACUGGGACAACUAUUGGAAACGAUAGCUAAUACCGGAUAACAGCAUUAACUGCAUGGUUGAUGUUUAAAAGUUGGUUUUGCUAACACUAUGAGAUGGCUUUGCGGUGCAUUAGCUAGUUGGUGGGGUAAAGGCCUACCAAGGCGACGAUGCAUAGCCGACCUGAGAGGGUGAUCGGCCACACUGGGACUGAGACACGGCCCAGACUCCUACGGGAGGCAGCAGUAGGGAAUCUUCCGCAAUGGGCGAAAGCCUGACGGAGCAACGCCGCGUGAGUGAAGAAGGAUUCCGGUUCGUAAAGCUCUGUUGUUAGGGAAGAAUGAUUGUGUAGUAACUAUACAUAGUAGAGACG